CUCAUAGCGUAUAUUUAAGUUGUUGCAGUUAAAAAGCUCGUAGUUGGAUUUCGGGUGUGGGGCGCCGGUCCGCUUCGGUGUGCACUGGCGGCCCAGGCCUUCUUGUCGGGGACGCGCUCUGGCUUUCACUAGUCGGACGCGGAGUCGGCGCAGUUACUUUGAAAAAAUUAGAGUGUUCAAAGCAGGCUUUCGCUUGAAUACAUUAGCAUGGAAUAACAUGAUAGGACUCCGAUCCCAUUGUGUUGGUCUUCGGGACUGGAGUAAUGAUUAAGAGGGACAGUUGGGGGCAUUCGUAUUUCAUUGUCAGAGGUGAAAUUCUUGGAUUUAUGAAAGACGAACUUCUGCGAAAGCAUUUGCCAAGGAUGUUUUCAUUAAUCAAGAACGAAAGUUGGGGGCUCGAAGAUGAUUAGAUACCAUCGUAGUCUCA
rnacentral:rRNA from 1 species